rnacentral:piRNA from 1 species
UAAAACAAGGUUGGUUGUGAGAAAGGGAAG